UACGUAGGGUGCGAGCGUUGUCCGGAAUUACUGGGCGUAAAGCGUGCGCAGGCGGUUUGUUAAGUCCGUUGUGAAAGCCCCGAGCUCAACUUGGGAAUUGCAGUGGAUACUGGCAAGCUGGAGUACGGUAGAGGAAGGUGGAAUUCCCGGUGUAGCAGUGAAAUGCGUAGAUAUCGGGAGGAACACCAGUGGCGAAGGCGGCCUUCUGGACCAGUACUGACGCUCAUGCACGAAAGCGUGGGGAGCAAACAGG
rnacentral:rRNA from 1 species